rnacentral:rRNA from 1 species
AGUAAUGCAUAGGAAUCUACCCAGUAGUGGGGGAUAACGUGGAGAAAUCCACGCUAAUACCGCAUAUGUCCUACGGGACAAAGCAGGGGACCUUCGGGCCUUGCGCUAUUGGAUGAGCCUAUGUCGGAUUAGCUAGUUGGUAGGGUAAAAGCCUACCAAGGCAACGAUCCGUAGCUGGUCUGAGAGGAUGAUCAGCCACACUGGGACUGAGACACGGCCCAG